rnacentral:piRNA from 1 species
GAAACUGGAACAAUGCCGAUAACGCGGU